rnacentral:Y_RNA from 1 species
GGCUGGUCUGAGUGUAGUAGCGUUUGCAAGUAAUUGAUAACAAUUAGUUACAGAUAUCUUUGUUCCUUCUCCACUCCCACUGCUUCACUUGACUUAAA